rnacentral:rRNA from 1 species
AAUUUUUCUCAAUGGGCGAAAGCCUGAAGGAGCGACGCCGCGUGUGGGAUGAAGGGUUUCGAUCCGUAAACCACUGUCAUUUGUGAACAAUGGUCAUUAUUUAAAAGAUGAUGGCUUGAUAGUAAUGAAAGAGGAAGGGACGGCUAACUCUGUGCCAGCAGCCGCGGUAAUACAGAGGUCCCGAGCGUUGUUCGGAUUCACUGGGCGUAAAGGGUGCGUAGGGGUGAAGUAAGUCGGAUGUGAAAGCUCCGGGCUCAACCCGGAAAUGGCAUUGGAAACUACUUUGCUUGAGGUUUGGAGGGGGGACUGGAAUUCUCGGUGUAGCAGUGAAAUGCGUAGAUAUCGAGAGGAACACCAGUGGCGAAGGCGAGUCCCUGGACAACACCUGACACUGAGGCACGAAAGCCGGGGGAGCAAACAGG